rnacentral:rRNA from 1 species
CAGUAGCCGCGGUAAUACGUAGGGGGCGAGCGUUGUCCGAAGUUACUGGGCGUAAAGAGCGCGUAGGCUGGUCUUUAAGUGAGUGGUGAAAGGUUCGGGCUCAACCCGGACACUGCCUUUCAUACUGGGGACCUUGAGUGUGGGAGAGGCGAGUGGAAUGGUCGGUGUAGCGGUGAAAUGCGUAGAUAUCGAUCGGAACACCCAUGGCGAAGGCAGCUCGCUGGCCUAACACUGACGCUGAGGCGCGAAAGCGUGGGGAGCAAACAGGAUUAGAUACCCCCGUAGUCCCUGUCUCUUAUAA